UUAAUACUCGUCGGAUACGAUAGGUCUAUAUAAUCAUAAUAUAUAAACCAACUGCCAAAUGUGUGUGAGGGAAGAUUCGACAAUAUGAUUUUCUUCGAAAACGAUAUGUUAUUAUUAUUAUUAUUAUUAUUAUUAUUAUUAUUAUUAUUAUUUUAUUAUUAUUAUUAUCAUCGUGGAUAUACCAUUUUAUUAACAGAAAAGCGACACUGUCAGGAGGAGGUCUGCUAGAGAUGAAUGGAAAGUGAUGUCGUGCUUCUCCCCCAGUACGAGCGGCUCAAGGGAAGGGAUUUCGAGAAAUGUCACUGUUGUGGUGGAGGGGAGGAGGAGGAGAAAGGGGCCGUUCAAACGAUCACAGCGCAUCAGGAUCAAAGCCCAGCAACAUGAAAUACCACAGCCACGAAAGAGAGGAAACAAGCUAGAGGUGAAUCAGUAAGGACUGGACACCAAACCCCAGUCAUCAGGAAAGUGGAGGGUCUACUUGAUUAACCAGGGUUGUCAAUCCAAAAUCCAAUUGGAACAUUUCUACGCUACGUGGCCCUUGGGCUCCUGCUCUUUCUUUCAGUGUCCAGUGGGGUACCGGCAUGGCUCGUUCUCAGUGGGAUAUGGGCCGGUCCCACAGAAAACGUGCAGUUGGCUGUGCUGUGACUAAGGGACACUUUUAUAAGAGAUAACUCACACAUGGGUUUCAGCUGGCCGAUCAGCUCCUCCUUGGUCCAUUUGGCCCACUCCUUCUUGUCUGUGUUGAUGGAGCACAGGAUGGGGCCGCAUGGCUUCCCACAGUCCUCUAUGGCAGGGACGUUCAGAGCUGCCAGCGUCCCGUGGAGCGUGUGGUGCCACGCUGAGAAGGGCGACGGGGCCAUCAUGGCGGGGCAGCCGGACGCAACCUGACAUGAGUUUGUCAGUCGCCUCUUGUGCAGAAAACAGGAGGUUGUCUUUUAUAUCAAACCCCACUGGCAGAAAGGACCGUCCAGUGGGGAAUUGCUGGGGCCUCUGUCUCUCUGCCAAACAGAUAAAACAGAGCAAAGAACAAAACUAGCAUCGCCCGUCGUCCCUCUCUCUUUCUUUCUCUCUCUCUCGUCCCCUCCCUCCUCUGUCUCCAUGCUGUCGACACAGGAAGAUUUGAUCUACAGACAAAUAUGCUUUUCAUUCACAGCUGACUAGGUCAUUGCUCGCCAUACUUUGGGUUUAACCAUGCUGUGCUUUACAACACUGAACUGGGCUUUUACCACGGCUCUUCAAAUUUGUAAGGGGAGUGUAAAUGAAAUAAAUAAUUCGAUGAAGAUCUGUACCCUGAAGGAGUGGUUUUGGAGAAUGUUUGAUUCGCGGGGGCUGAUGCCCCGCUCUGCCACCAAAGCUACUCUAAGAGACCCCUCGGCUUGAGGCCAAAUGUGGGGCUGUCACUCUGGGCCGAUGCCAGCCAACCAGCUAGGCUGCUUGCCUGAGCCAGCGAGGGCUUCUCCGCUCCCACUGGCCCGUGCUGCCAGUCUCCAUGGAGAUGAGGUCAGA